rnacentral:rRNA from 1 species
AACGAACGCUGGCGGCAUGCCUAACACAUGCAAGUCGAACGAGACCUUCGGGUCUAGUGGCGCACGGGUGCGUAACGCGUGGGAAUCUGCCCUUGGGUUCGGAAUAACAGUUGGAAACGACUGCUAAUACCGGAUGAUGACGUAAGUCCAAAGAUUUAUCGCCCAGGGAUGAGCCCGCGUAGGAUUAGCUAGUUGGUGGGGUAAAGGCCUACCAAGGCGACGAUCCUUAGCUGGUCUGAGAGGAUGAUCAGCCACACUGGGACUGAGACACGGCCCAGACUCCUACGGGAGGCAGCAGUGGGGAAUAUUGGACAAUGGGCGAAAGCCUGAUCCAGCAAUGCCGCGUGAGUGAUGAAGGCCUUAGGGUUGUAAAGCUCUUUUACCCGGGAUGAUAAUGACAGUACCGGGAGAAUAAGCCCCGGCUAACUCCGUG